rnacentral:rRNA from 1 species
UACGGAGGGUGCAAGCGUUAUCCGGAAUCACUGGGUUUAAAGGGUGCGUAGGCGGUCCGAUAAGUCAGAGGUGAAAGCUCAUCGCUUAACGAUGAAACUGCCUUUGAUACUGUCAGACUUGAAUUAGGAUAAGGUAAGCGGAAUGUGGCAUGUAGCGGUGAAAUGCAUAGAUAUGCAUAGAACACCAAUUGCGAAGGCAG